GUGCCAGCAGCCGCGGUAAUUCCAGCUCCAAUAGCGUAUAUUAAAGUUGUUGCAGUUAAAAAGCUCGUAGUUGAACCUUGGGCCUGGCUGGCCGGUCCGCCUCACCGCGUGCACUGGUCCGGCCGGGCCUUUCCCUCUGUGGAACCCCAUACCCUUCACUGGGCGUGGCGGGGAAACAGGACAUUUACUUUGAAAAAAUUAGAGUGCUCCAGGCAGGCCUAUGCUCGAAUACAUUAGCAUGGAAUAAUAAAAUAGGACGCGCGGUUCUAUUUUGUUGGUCUAUAGGACCGCCGUAAUGAUUAAUAGGGACAGUCGGGGGCAUCAGUAUUCAACUGUCAGAGGUGAAAUUCUUGGACCAGUUGAAGACUAACUACUGCGAAAGCAUUUGCCAAGGAUGUUUUCAUUAAUCAGGAACGAAAGUUAGGGGAUCGAAGACGAUCAGAUACCGUCGUAGUCUUAACCAUAAACUAUGCCGACUAGGGAUCGGACGGUGUUAUUCAUGACCCGUUCGGCACCUUACGAGAAAUCAAAGUGCUUGGGCUCCAGGGGGAGUAUGGUCGCAAGGCUGAAACUUAAAGAAAUUGACGGAAGGGCACCACCAGGGUGGAGCCUGCGGCUUAAUUUGACUCAACACGGGGAAACUCACUCAGGUCCAGACACAAUAAGGAUUGACAGAUUGAGAGCUCUUUUCUUGAUUUUGUGGUGGUGGUGCAUGACCGUUCUUAGUUGGUGGGGUGACUUGUCUGCUUAAUUGCGAUAACGGA
rnacentral:rRNA from 1 species